CUUGGGAGGGACUCUGGUAGGUAGGCAGGUAUCUUUGACAAGGAACACUCAAGGAGGAGGUGAAUAUGAUUUUGAUGUCUUUGCAGAGGAGCUGUAACAGGGAAGGCUACACAAGAGGAAGCUAUUUUGAAGGCUAUAUUUUAGGUAUUCAACAUUAAAUUUCAGGUAUAAUAAAUCUUGGUCCCUUGUUGUAUAAGCAUAA